rnacentral:lncRNA from 1 species
CUGGCUGGGUGAGGCGACUUCUGCCGUGGGCUUCCGGCCAUCUGGUCCAACUCUGCCCACGCUGCACCUGCCCUGUCCUAGGAUGCAGCAUCUCCCAGCACUCCCGCUCCAAGCUCUCAUUCACUCAGACAUCUCUCUCUGCUUAUCGUUUCUUCCAUUCUGCUUGCCCAAAUAUCCUCUGGACUAAAGGACAUGUACAAAUAAUAUUUUAACAAACGUUACCAGAUCAUGUCCCAGAAAGUUCGCACCAAAUAAUAUUCCUUCCAAAUGUGUAAAUGUUUUUUAUUCACCACAUCCCUGACAGCACUGGAUGUCAACAGACAUAAACAUUUUUGUCUUAAUAGGUGACAAGGGACAUCACUUCCUAUUUUGGCUUAGAAUUAUUUGAUUAUGACUGAGGUUGUGCAUCUUUUGGAUGUUUUUUUUCCUUUUUUUAAAAAAUGGGAGAUCAAGCAUCAGUUUUGUGUUUAUUGGCUAUAUUUUUUUGAUUUGGACUUGGAAUUUACUUAGAAAUGUUUCCCUCACUGCGGCGGGGCGUGGUGGCUCACACCUGUAAUUCCAGCACUUUGGGAGGCCGAAGCUGACGGAUCACGAGGUCAAGAGAUCGAGACCAUCCUGGUCAACUUGGUGAAACCCCUUCUCUACUAAAAAUACAAAAAUUAGGCUGGGCACGGUAGCUCACACCUGUAAUCCCAGCACUUUGGGAGGCUGAGGGGGGCGGAUCACGAGGUCAGGAGAUCGAGACCAUCCUGGCUAACACGGUGGAACCCCAUCUCAAUACAAAAAAUUAGCUGGGCGUGGUGGCGGGCGCCUGUAGUCCCAGCUACUCCGGAGGCUGAGGCAAGAGAAUGGCGUGAAUUGGGAGGCGGAGCUUUCAGUGAACAGAGAGCGCGCCACUGCACUCCAGCCUGGCAUCAGAGCGAGACUCCGUCUUAAAACAAAAGCGAAGCAAAGCUGGAUCCCUACCUCACUUCUCACAUAAAAAUACUUUCUCGGUAUAAUCUUGCGGAGGACGGAAGGUGAUCUGCCCGCCUCCGCCUCCCAAAGUGCUGGGAUUACAGGCAUGAACCACUGCACCCAGCCUUUUCUCUCUCUCUCUCUCUCUCUUUUUUUUUUCAUAAAGAGUAGCUGGUUGUAAUUGUCGCCAUACUUUAUUUUAUUUUGAGACAGGGUCUUGCUCUGAUGCCCAGGCUGGAGUGCAGUGGCAUGAUCACGGCUCACUGCAGCCUCUUAUCUCCUGGGCUCAAGCGAUCCUCCCACCUCAGCCUCCUGAGCAGCUGAGUCUACUUGCACAUGCAUCAAUCUUUUUAAAAUUUUUUAAUUUUUAGUAGAGACUAGG